rnacentral:rRNA from 1 species
AUGGCUGCGCGAGCACUGACCGCCGCCGGCCGCCGGGUGGCCGGCCAGACCAGGGCGACGCCUCUUCUCGCCUGGUGCAGGAACAGCGCCAGCAUGAACCACUCCUCGGCCACCGCGCGGCGGGAGGAGGAGCAGUACAAGGACGUGCGCGCCCCCGCUGCGACGAUGACGGGGGCACAGGUGGAGGCGGCGCUGAACCGCAAGAACGUCGAGGUGCUCCAGGGCGAGGAGCACGUCGCCACGGUGCUGUCCGACGAGGCCAUCGGCGGCGCGCUUGACGGCGGCGAGGACGCGUCGUGGGUGCCCGACCAGGACACGGGCGUCUUCGGCCCCGCCCACGUCGAUACCCACGGCGGCGGCUCGGCUGCCGCUCCACCGCACCUGUUCGGAGGUGCCACGGAGGGGUCAGCGGCGUCUUGGGCCGACCAGGACACGGGCGCCUUCGUCCCCGCCGAUGCCGAUGCCGACGCCGACGCCCACGGCGGCGGCGCGCAUCCCGCCCCACCGCAGCACCUGUACGGAGGCGUGGGCGGGCCGGCGUCGGUGCUGGACCAGACGGUGUUCGUCCGGGAGGAGGAGAUGGAGGACGUGGAGAGGCCCGCCGCCCUCUGA